rnacentral:rRNA from 1 species
GCCAGACUCCUACGGGAGGCAGCAGUGGGGAAUAUUGCACAAUGGGGGAAACCCUGAUGCAGCGACGCCGCGUGAGUGAAGAAGUAUUUCGGUAUGUAAAGCUCUAUCAGCAGGGAAGAAGAAAGACGGUACCUGACUAAGAAGCCCCGGCUAACUACGUGCCAGCAGCCGCGGUAAUACGUAGGGGGCAAGCGUUAUCCGGAUUUACUGGGUGUAAAGGGAGCGUAGGCGGUUAGAUAAGUCUGAUGUGAAAGCCCACAGCUUAACUGUGGGAUUGCAUUGGAAACUAUAGAACUAGAGUGUCGGAGAGGUAAGUGGAAUUCCUAGUGUAGCGGUGAAAUGCGUAGAUAUUAGGAGGAACACCAGUGGCGAAGGCGGCUUACUGGACGAUGACUGACGCUGAGGCUCGAAAGCGUGGGGAGCAAACAGGAUUAGAUACCCCUGUAA